GCUCUGACCCGGUUCAGUCAGGGAGAGGAUAGGACCAGAAGCAGAUCAGGUCCAACAAAGACACCCUGGAGUUCUUGUCCAACUCGGUCCAGGUUCUGACCCGUCCUCUGUUGUCAUAGUAACGCUCAGGUUGUACCAUAGUCAGCUCCCCAGACUGUUCAGUGAAUAGUUUCCUUGACAACCGGUGAUGUCACAUCUCUGUAUGAUGUCACAUAGGUAAACAGAGAGGUCAUAAAGCCAGCAGCUGCGGUUUCAGGUGGUUCUGGGUCGGGUCAGAACCUGAUGCACCUUAUCUCCACACCUGCUGACAUCAUCGCCAGCCGGCCAAUCACUGACCCUUUUCAUUAGUGAAUAACCUCAGAGCUGCAGCAACCACCUGUUCCUCAGGUGAUCUCAGUGCUUCCUGGUUCUGGUUCUGCAGCUGGACCUCGGGUCACUGUGGGUUAACCGACCAGGAAGCAGCUCUUUUGGAACUGGACCGGCCCACACGAAUCUGUCAUGAACCAGCCCAGGACUGGUUCUGACCCUACAGCAGGCUCAAUCUUUGUGGUUCUGAUCCGGUUCCUGAGGCGAGAUGAAUCGGGUCAGAGCGAGCUCUUCCUAGUCCGAUUCGGAGAAGCACAGGAAGUUUGUGUUGCUCCGGCCUUUACUAACCUUCUGGGGACCAAAGCCGGGUCAGAGGUGUUGUACCAGGUACAUCCUAACCUGAAGUCCCAGCAGGAGGCGCUGCAGUACAUCGAGGACCUGAUCCUGCAGCUGCUCAGCAUGCUGUGUCAGGCUCAGCCGCGCAGCGUGCAGGACGUGGAGGAGCGGGUCCAGAGGAGUUUCCCUCACCCCAUUGAUAAGUGGGCAAUCGCCGAUGCUCUGGCUGCCAUCGAGAAGAAGAAGAGGAAGAACCCGCUGGCACUUCCUGUCGACAAGAUCCACCCCCUGCUCAAGGAGGUGUUGGGCUAUAAACUCGACCAUCAGGUCUGCGUCUACAUGGUCGCCGUUCUGGAGUAUAUCUCGGCAGACAUCUUGAAGCUGGCGGGGAAUUACGUCAGGAACAUCCGCCAUGAUGACAUCACCAAGCAGGACAUCACUGUGGCGAUGUGCGCCGACAAGGUUCUGAUGGACAUGUUCCACCAGGACGAGGAGGACAUGGGUCUGUUCCCGCUGCUGGACGAGGAGCCGUCGGCCAAUGAGGAGCAGCGAUACUGCGACCUGGUCCGGAGCUUCCUGGCUGACGGACACCAGUACCUGAGGCAGCUGCACCUGUUGCUCAAGGUGUUCAGGGAGCCCUUCGCCUCCUGCCCCGCCCUCUUCUCCACACAGGACGUGGACAGCAUCUUUGGCCGCCUGGCGGACAUCCAGGAAGUGACGGUGAAGCUGCUGGGCCUGCUGGAGGACACGGUGGAGAUGACGGACGAGGGGAGCCCACACCCACUGGUGGGCAGCUGCUUUGAGGACCUGGCAGAGGAGUUGGCCUUUGACCCCUAUGAGGCGUAUGCUCAGGAAGUCCUGCAUCCUGCCUUCCACGAACACUUCCUGGAUCUAGUGACCAAACCUGGAGCCUCUGUCCAUCUGCAGUCCAUCUGCGACGGAUUUAAAGAAGCCGUCCGCUACGUCCUGCCCAGGCUGCUGCUGACCCCCGUCUACCACUGCCUCCACCUGCUGGACACACUGAAGCAACUGGAGGAGCGCAGCGAGGAUGAGGAGGAUAAGGAGUGUCUUCGUCAGGCCAUCACGGCGCUGCUGAACCUGCAGAGCAGCUUGGAGAGGAUCUGCUCCAGGAGCCUGGCCAAGCGGAGACUCAGCGAGCCGGCCUGCCGGCUCCACAGCCAGCAGGUAAAGAGUAAGCACCUGGCCAUUAGGAGGAUGAAGGAUGUCCAGCGGAGCAUCGACGGCUGGGAGGGGGCGGACAUUGUCCAGUGCUGUAACGAGUUUAUCAUGGAGGGCACGUUGAGCCGCGUCGGUGCCAAGCACGAGCGCCACAUCUUCCUGUUCGACGGUCUGAUGAUCAGCUGCAAGGCUGGCCACGCGCCUCCGCGGCUGCCCGGCGCUGCCGCCGCCGAGUUCCGCCUCAAGGAGAAGUUCUUGAUGCGGAAGGUCCGGGUGGUGGACCGGGAGGACCGGGACGGCGAGUGGCGCCACGCCUUCGAGGUGGCGCCGAAGGACGGCGGCGGCGUGCUGUUCGCCGCCAAGUCAGCAGAGGAGAAGAACGGGUGGAUGGCGGCGCUGGUGUCGCUGCAGUACCGCGGCACGCUGGAGCGCAUGCUGGACCAGGCGCUGCUGCAGGACGAGGAGCAGCAGAUGCGGCUGCCGUCGGUCCAGCGGUACCGCUUCGCCGAACCCGAUUCGGACCAGAACGUUGUGUUUGAGGACAGCGUCCAGUCCAAGUCUGGCAUCCCCGUCAUUAAAGCCGGGACAGUCCUGAAGCUCAUCGAGAGGCUCACCUUCCACCUAUACGCAGAUCCAAACUUUGUCCGGACCUUUCUGACCACGUACAGGUCCUUCUGCCGGCCCGGGGAGCUGCUGGACCUGCUGGUAGAGAGGUUUGACAUUCCUGAGCCAGCGCCGGCCGAAUCGGACCCGACAGACGGGUUGGAGCAGGUUCUCAGCGCCGACCUAAAACGGUUCCGUAAAGAGUUUGUUCAGCCGGUCCAGCUCAGGGUUCUGAACGUGUGCCGCCACUGGGUAGAGCAUCACUUCUACGACUUCGAGCGAGAUCCGGGUCUGCUGAGCCGACUGGAGGACUUCAUCGCUUCGGUCAGAGGGAAGGCCAUGAGGAAAUGGGUGGAGUCCAUCACUAAGAUCAUCCAGAGGAAGCAGCAGGUGCAGGUGAGCCAGGUGAGCCCCCCCCCCAGCAUCACCUUCCAGAACUCGCCCCCCCCCAUCGAGUGGCACCUCUGCAGGCAAGGAGCCAUUGAGACCUUUGACCUCAUGACCCUUCACCCCAUUGAGAUCGCCCGCCAGCUGACGCUGCUCGAGUCUGACUUCUACAGGGCGGUGCGUCCGUCAGAGCUGGUGGGAAGUGUCUGGACCAAGGAGGACAAGGAGCUGCACUCGCCCAACCUGCUGAGGAUGAUCCGGCACACCACCAACCUCACACUGUGGCUGGAGAAGUGCAUUGUUGAGACGGAGAACCUGGAGGAGCGGGUUGCCGUGGUUUCUCGGAUCAUCGAGAUCUUACAGGUUUUUCAGGAACUGAAUAACUUCAACGGCGUUCUGGAAGUGGUCAGCGCCAUGAACUCCUCACCUGUCUAUAGACUGGACCACACUUUCGAGCAAAUCCCGAGUCGCCAGAGGAAGAUCCUGGAAGAAGCUCAUGAGCUGAGUGAAGAUCACUACAAGAAAUACCUGGCCAAGCUGCGCUCCAUCAACCCGCCCUGCGUCCCGUUCUUUGGGAUCUAUCUGACCAACAUCCUGAAGACGGAGGAGGGAAACCCGGACUUCCUGCGGCGACACGGCAAAGACCUGAUCAACUUCAGCAAGAGGCGGAAAGUGGCAGAGAUCACUGGAGAGAUCCAACAGUACCAGAACCAGCCUUACUGCCUGAGCGUGGAGCCCGACAUCAGGAAGUUCUUGGAGAACCUGAACCCGAUGGAGGACCUGUCCGAGAAGGACUUUGCUGAUCAUCUCUUCAACAAGUCCUUGGAGAUCGAACCUCGAAACACGCGGUCGUUGCCUCGUUUCGUGAAGCGGUACACCUGUCCUCUGAAGUCCCCGGGAAUCAGACCCACGUCCGCAAGGGUCGGCUCCAUGAGACAUCCCACCCCACUGCAGAACGAGCCCAGGAAGAUCAGCUACAACCGGGUCACCGACAGCGAGUCUGAAGGUGGUGUCAUCUCUGCUCCCAACUCCCCCCGCACGCCGCUGACUCCGCCCCCGGCCUCUGCGUCCAGCUCCACAGAUGUGGGCAGCGUGUUCGACUCGCCUCAGGGUCCAAGCAGCCCCUUCCACUCAAAGUCCAAGGUUUACGUGGGGAACCUGGGAACCGGCGCCGGGAAGGCCGAGCUGGAGCGGGCCUUUGGGUACUACGGGCCUCUCAGAACCGUCUGGAUCGCCAGGAACCCGCCGGGCUUUGCCUUUGUGGAAUUUGAAGAUUCCAGGGAUGCCGAGGACGCCGUCCGAGGGCUGGAUGGGAAGGUGAUCUGCGGCAGCCGGGUCCGGGUGGAGCCAUCCAACGGGAUGCCGCGGCGUUCCCGCUACGAGAGGCCGCCGCCACGGCGACCGUUUGACCCCGACGACAAGUGCUAUGAGUGUGGACAGAAAGGCCACUACGCCUACGACUGCCACCGCUACGGCCGCCGCGGCCACCGCAGCAGGUCCCGGUCUAGGUCCCGGUCCCGAUCCCGGUCCCGGGGGAGGCGGUAUUCCCGGAGCCGGAGUCGCAGCCGGAGUCGAGGGAGGAGAUCCAGGUCCUCUCCUCGGCGAUCCAGGUCCAGCUCACCCAGAAGGUCCAGGUCCGGUUCACCCAGAAGGCUGCGGUCUGGUUCUCCUGGGAGGUCCCGGUCCCGGUCGGUGUCAAAGUGCCGCAGCAGGUCUGGAUCCAUGGGCCGGUCUCAUUCCGGAUCUCGAGCCAGAAGGUGAGACCAGAGGGCAGUUAUAGAGGUCAUGGAGGUCAUGGAGGUCAUCAAGGGCGGUCCUGUCCAUAGACAUGAAUUCGUAGAUGCCUCAUUGAGCGGAUCGGCCCGUGCGAUACUCGCUCGGCCUCCAGGACUCCUGCUGACAACUGACUUCCUGUUUGCUCUCUGAUGUUUUGUACGAACUCACUCUGUUGUGUAGCAGCUCUGUGAUUAUUGAUUAUUAAUUAGUGACUAUUGGUUUCUGAUCAGCCUGCUUUGGUUCCUCAGCUGUUUACUUCCUGCAAUGAUCUGUUAAUAAAAGUUUAUCAUUCAAA